rnacentral:rRNA from 1 species
UACGUAGGUGGCAAGCGUUGUCCGGAUUUACUGGGUGUAAAGGGCGUGUAGGCGGGUUAUCAAGUCAGAUGUGAAAUUCCAUGGCUCAACUGUGGCGCUGCAUCUGAAACUGAUGAUCUUGAGUGAUGGAGAGGAAAGCGGAAUUCCUAGUGUAGCGGUGAAAUGCGUAGAUAUUAGGAGGAACACCAGUGGCGAAGGCGGCUUUCUGGACAUUAACUGACGCUGAGGCGCGAAAGCGUGGGGAG